rnacentral:rRNA from 1 species
AGAGUUUGAUCCUGGCUCAGGAUCAACGCUGGCGGCGUGCCUAAUGCAUGCAAGUCGAACGGAGCCGCCUUCGGGCGGUCACGUGGCGGACGGGUGAGGAACACGUGGGCGAUCUGCCCCGGGGCGGGGGAUAGCCACCAGAAAUGGUGGGUAAUACCGCAUGAGCUCGGCGACUUACGGGUCACCGAGGAAAGGCGCAAGCCACCCUGGGAGGAGCCUGCGGCGGAUUAGCUAGUUGGCGGGGUAACGGCUCACCAAGGCGAUGAUCCGUAGCUGGUCUGAGAGGACGGCCAGCCACAGGGGAACUGAGACACGGUCCCCACUCCUACGGGAGGCAGCAGCAAGGAAUUUUCCGCAAUGGGCGAAAGCCUGACGGAGCAACGCCGCGUGGGGGAUGACGCUUUUCGGAGUGUAAACCCCUUUUCUCAGGGAUGAACAAAAUGACAGUACCUGAGGAAGAAGGCCCGGCUAACUACGUGCCAGCCGCCGCGGUAAUAC